UCCUCACGUGUGCUCGCUCUAUAUUUAGUCUGGAUAAUUCCGGUUUCGCGCCAGUCUUCGUCAGGCCACCGAAAGCUGCGAAGACUCACCAGAAUGCCGCUGUGAACCCAGAAAACUCCUGUGAACCCAGAAAACCCCUGUGAACCUGCAUAGAUAUCUGAUACCCAUCCAUUGUGUGUAGCGACGGGUGUUAGCCCCGCAUACGAUUUGUGAGUUGUAUUUUAAUCCAGUCGUUUAUAACUGUAAACUUCAUUAAGAUCUGGAACUGUAUGAACGCUGUGCUCCAACUAAUUGUCUUGUUUAUUGUAAACAUAUUGUAUUAUUGUCCUUAUUGUUUCCGUGUAAUUUUAUGUAUUUAUUUGUAAUUUAUGUUUCAGUUUCACCUGCCUAUUUUACGGGCUGAGUAAUAAAACGAAGGGGAAAACA